rnacentral:rRNA from 1 species
AUUGAACGCUGGCGGCAGGCCUAACACAUGCAAGUCGAACGAGUGGCGGACGGGUGAGUAAUGUCUGGGAAACUGCCUGAUGGAGGGGGAUAACUACUGAAACCGUUGGCAAAACCCCAAUACCAUCAAUUUUGCCCAGAUGGGAUGAGCUAGUUGGUGGGGUAACGGCUCACCAAGGCGACGAUCCCUAGCUGGUCUGAGAGGAUGACCAGCCACACGGGAACUGAGACACGGUCCAGACUCCUACGGUAGGCAGCAGUGGGGAAUAUGGCACAAUGGGCGCAAGCCUGAUGCAGCCAUGCCGCGUGUAUGAAGAAGGCCUUCGGGUUGUAAAGUACUUUCAGCGGGGAGGCGUUACCCGCAGAAGAAGCACCGGCUAACUCCGUGCCAGCAGCCGCGGUAAUUC